rnacentral:tRNA from 2 species
GCGGAAGUGGCGGAACUGGCAGACGCGCAGGAUUCAGGUUCCUGUGGGGUAAAACCCGUGGAGGUUCGAGUCCUCUCUUCCGCACCC